rnacentral:rRNA from 1 species
UACGUAGGGGGCAAGCGUUGUCCGGAAUCAUUGGGCGUAAAGCGCGUGUAGGCGGUUUGUCGCGUCUGCUGUGAAAAUCCGGGGCUCAACCCCGGACUUGCAGUGGGUACGGGCAGACUAGAGUUCGGCAGGGGAGACUGGAAUUCCUGGUGUAGCGGUGAAAUGCGCAGAUAUCAGGAGGAACACCGGUGGCGAAGGCGGGUCUCUGGGCCGAUACUGACGCUGAGGAGCGAAAGCGUGGGGAGCGAACAGG